CCGGCUCGGCGGGCGCCGGCUCGCCGUCGCCGCCCUGGGACGGCGCCCGGCCGGUGACGCCGUUCGCCUCGGCGGCCUGGA
rnacentral:tRNA from 1 species